UGCUGUAGGAUUUUUGCAAAUUGGUUGGAUUUUGAAGUGUGUACGUAUCAAUUCUAUUGUAAUACCUUUUUAUGGAAAGUAAUGGAUGUCGGAGAACACUUCAACAUCGUUCUGUACCAUUGUUUUAAGACUGUUUCGUAACACAGCACAUGACAUUAGUCAUUUUAGAAUGACUACACAUGGCACAUACCUGUACUGUAUAAUGAUAUAUCAUACAUAUAUACACUUUAUAGUAAGGUUUUUAACGGUGUUUAGUACGUGCUUAUGUGGUGGUUAAAGGAGAUAAUAGUGUGUGAAAACUGGCUCUCUCAAUAUCGAAAACAUGCAACAGAUGCGAGGUGCCUGAUCAUGCAGUUAGAACUCAAGAACUGACAUUUUGUGGUUUACCAGUAGGCAAGAAUUAGCAGUCGUGAAAAUUAAACUUUUGAAUUCUUAUAGUUUUGCUUGGCAUCAAAUUUUUUAACAAGCACUGCUAUUUAAAAUUCAGAAUUUGAGCAAGCCCGAAAGUAGUCCAAAUAAUUGUACGUUGACGGAUUUUUUUUAGAUUUUUGAUAUGGCAAAUCCUUCACGUACAAAUUGUUUAGUAUCAAAAGUGGGUAGUUGUUCCGAUCAGGAUUCCGGGUUAAAGCAUAUAGCGUCUAUACAAUAUAAUAACAAGAAAUAUUACCAGAUAAUGUUAUUUUAUAUUAGUUCCGUACGCAUACAAAAAAAAUAUCCAACUUGUAAUUAUGAGUUUGACGGCUUUUCUUCAUUUCAUUCUGUCAAAACAUAACGAUAUAUACAUGAAGGGCACCUGCAAGGCUUCAGGGCACAGUUUUAAAUCGCUCGGAACAUUUCGGCCAUGGCCAACUUGUUACGAUUGUAUAACGAGGUCUAUCUCGAAGUAUUGUCGUAGGAGGCCGAGUUAUUACGAUUGUAUCAAGUUGUUCCCCUUCGCAUAAUUGUUAUCUGUGUCAGUCAACUUUCAUUUUAUUGGAAAGGUAAACAACUUGUUUUAAUGCAUUAAAUGCUUGUUUAGUGCAAAAUAAUAUUUCACUUACAUGGCAAAAUAUGAAUUUAACUCUUUAUGAUCAAUUUCAACCAUAAAAUUCUUUACUUAAAACAAUUUCAAUAUUUUUAAAACACCCCCGUUUUUGGCACAUUCCCGUUUAGACGUUAGGGAUUGGAAGAAUCCCUUAUGACACGUCUAUUAUUUUAGACUAGCCCGAAAGACAUUUUACCAGUGCAGGGCUUGUGCUUAUAUUGACCACUAUAAUUAUACAUUGACAGUAUCUGUCAAUGUAUAAUUGUAGUGGUCAAUAUUUAAUAUUGACCACUAUAAUUAUACAUUGACAGUGAUAUAUUUUACGAUUUUUGAUAUGGCAAAUCAUUCACGUACAAGUUAUUUUGUAUCGAAUGUGGGUAGUUAUUCCGAUUGCAUCUAUAAAAUAUCUUAAAAACAAGAAAUAUUACCAGAUAAUGUUACUUAAAUAAUAGUUCCGUACACAAAAAAAAACAAAUAUCCAACAAAUUAUUAUGAGUUUGAUGCAUGUUUCUUCAUUUCAUACUGUCAAAACAUAACAAUAUACAAUACAUGAAUGACACCUGCAAGGCUGCGGUUCACAGUUUAACAACAAUUGGAACACUUCAGCCAUGGCCGAGUUGUAACGAUUGUAUAUAAGAGGUCUUUCUCGAAGCUUGCCGAAGAUGGUCAAGUUUUAAGCUUGGUACAAUUGUUGUCUGUGUCGGUCAAGUUUCGUUUUGUUGGAAAGAUGUUUUUGGCCAGAAUCAACGCCCUUGCAGAAAAAAGCCAACCAAAACUACCUUCAGACAAACACGGCUGAAAUUGAGCUGAAUUUGUGCUAUAUGCAGUAUAUCGAUCAAUACAUAGGUAAUGGAGUGUUUGCUAGGCAAGAGCUCUUGAAGGGGCAGUUUAUUCUCGAGUACAGAGGAGAACUAUGUAAACAGCAGUCUGAUGGUGAUGAAAUGUUCAAAUACCAUUUCAGACAUAACAACAAGGAAUACUGCAUCGAUGCCUCAAAA